rnacentral:misc_RNA from 1 species
GCAAACUUGGUCAUUUAGAGGAAGUAAAAGUCGUAACAAGGUUUCCGUGCAAGUCUGCUGGAACAGUGAUUCCUUCCGCAGUGUACACUUACCGAAGCCUCUGCAGCCGUGCAAGCGGUAGGCCCGAGCGACUCGAAACAAGUCGGUGCCGUUGCAAGUCCCAGGUCUCGCCUGGGGCGACACUCUCGAAUUGACGGGAACACCCUAAAGCCAGUCGCACCAAGCCGCGGUGAGAAAUCGCGCGGUGGCUCGGCGGGCCCACUGGAACCCCACGGUUCCGGUCGCCGGAGGACUAUUGCCCUCGGGCCCGCGCCCGCCGAGCACCCCUGAACCCUGUGUGAAUAGUGAGUCUGAGUGUCUAUUGAAUCGUUAAAACUUUCAACAACGGAUCUCUUGGUUCCGGCAUCGAUGAAGAACGCAGC